UCAGCUGGGAAGGAAGAGGAAAAGCCUCUGUGCAGAGGACAGGAACAGUGUGUGGGGAUCCAGGCAAACUUCUGGAGUCUCUUCUUGCUGGUAGUGCCCUAACAUGACUACACCAUUAUCCAUGGGGGACAAGGGCAGUGAGAGGACUGCUGUGGAGCAGGGCACAGGACCACAGAGAAGGAAACGGCUGUGAAUGAGGCAGAAGUCCUAUGGAAAAAAAUAGUUUGCAUCAGAGUAUUCUAAGAAGCUCUGGGAAGCUAUCCCAGACUGCCUCAGCCUGGAACACAUCCACAUAGACAUGGGAAAAUGGGAAAACAGUUUACUGAAAUUUCUAAG